rnacentral:rRNA from 1 species
UACGUAGGGGGCAAGCGUUGUCCGGAUUUAUUGGGCGUAAAGCGCGUGUAGGCGGCCUGGAAGGUCCGUUGUGAAAACUCGAGGCUCAACCUCGAGACGUCGAUGGAAACCCCCAGGCUAGAGUCCGGAAGAGGAGAGUGGAAUUCCCGGUGUAGCGGUGAAAUGCGCAGAUAUCGGGAAGAACACCAGUGGCGAAGGCGGCGAUCUGGGCAGAUACUGACGCUGAGGUGCGAAAGCGUGGGGAGCAAACAGG